AGUGAACGCUGGCGGUAGGCCUAACACAUGCAAGUCGAACGGCAGCACAGUAAGAGCUUGCUCUUACGGGUGGCGAGUGGCGGACGGGUGAGGAAUACAUCGGAAUCUACUUUUUCGUGGGGGAUAACGUAGGGAAACUUACGCUAAUACCGCAUACGACCUACGGGUGAAAGCAGGGGAUCUUCGGACCUUGCGCGAUUGAAUGAGCCGAUGUCGGGUUAGCUAGUUGGCGGGGUAAAGGCCCACCAAGGCGACGAUCCGUAGCUGGUCUGAGAGGAUGAUCAGCCACACUGGAACUGAGACACGGUCCAGACUCCUACGGGAGGCAGCAGUGGGGAAUAUUGGACAAUGGGCGCAAGCCUGAUCCAGCCAUACCGCGUGGGUGAAGAAGGCCUUCGGGUUGUAAAGCCCUUUUGUUGGGAAUGAAAAGCAGCAGGUUAAUACCCCGCUGUUCUGACGGUACCCAAAGAAUAAGCACCGGCUAACUUCGUG
rnacentral:rRNA from 1 species